GUGACUUUGUUUCAUGAUAUGAUUCAUCAUGAAGUUGAAUGCUAUGCUAUGACGUGAUAGCAAAGUCCCAAACAGGAGAGGGGCAUCUGGCAGACAAGGGGCAAGUCGGUUGACCAGUUGAGACAAUUCAAACUGAGGUUGAAUUCAAGUAAGUGCACUAUCAGAGUGCGGUCCGGUAAGAUGUUGGGGUUUAUUGUCAGAGAGGAGUCCGAGGUUGAUCCUGCUUAAAAAAAAAG
rnacentral:lncRNA from 1 species